rnacentral:rRNA from 1 species
UACGAAGGGUGCAAGCGUUACUCGGAAUUACUGGGCGUAAAGCGUGCGUAGGUGGUUUGUUAAGUCUGUUGUGAAAGCCCCGGGCUCAACCUGGGAAUGGCAAUGGAUACUGGCAAGCUAGAGUGCGGUAGAGGGUAGUGGAAUUCCCGGUGUAGCGGUGAAAUGCGUAGAGAUCGGGAGGAACACCAGUGGCGAAGGCGGCUAUCUGGACCACAACUGACGCUGAGACGCGAAAGCGUGGGGAGCGAACCGG